AAAUACAAUUUGGGCUCAGCUUGACACAACACUUUGGAUGUAAUAUGUCUGACAAUUUUUUUUAUUUGGUGGUGAACCUACCCUUUAAUACAUGAUUUAGUAAUCCUCCUAUAGUUGACCCCUAGAAUAGAAUGACUCACAGCUAACAGCAAAAUAACAGAUAUACAAGUUCUCUCUCUGUCACCUCUCAAUCUAUCUGUCUCCUCUCUCUCUUUCACACCCAGCAGGUGUGUUUGCCCAUAGAGUGGUGUUUUGCAUAGCUGUUGAGCCUCACUGCUCCUGACACUAAGACUGCAGUGUUAUCCUCGUUGUGUCCAGUCAGUCUUCUUAGAGCCACAGAUGAGGAAGAUGCUGAUCAUGCUGGCGUUCCUCCUGACUCAGGUUCAGAGUCAUCUGCACGUGUCCUGAAUCAAGCUGAUUAAUCAAAGUCUGUUUGCCUGGGAGAGAGUGUGUCUAUCAAAUCUGAACCCCUCUGGGGUUCCUGACUCAGGUGUCAUCUGCAAAUAAUUCCCUGAAUCAUGCUGAAAAAUGAAAUCUGUUAGUCUGGGAAAGACUGUGUCUCUCAGUGCUACAGGAGGUUCAGGUAUUGAUGAUGACAUGAGCUGGUACCUGCAGAAACCUGGACAGGCUCCUAAACUCCUGAUCUAUACAGCAAAAACCCUUGGCCAGGCACACUAGGGCCACAUUCCCCUGGUCCUGCUCCUCACUGGAGGGAAGUAGGACGGUCAGGGAGGGACGUACCACACCCACUAGGGGAGAAGAUGAGGGGGGAGAGAUGGAGAGAUGACAUGUAAGGGUUAAACUGGACAAGAACCUUGCAGAACUUUCAGCAACUUGAAUAUAAAGAAACAAAUAUGUUAUUUGUGUUGUAUAAAAUAGUCUGUAAAAUGGCAGGUUAUCUAUAAACAUAUGUUACACACUAUUUAACUUCCCUCCAAUAACAUCUAUGAAGUGUGACCACAAACUACAGUCAGUGAUGUGUUAAAGUACAGAAAGAAAACGUACAUGUCUACAAUAUAACAUGUUUAAUAAUGCUGCUGAACUGUUUUUGUGUAUUUAAAGACAUCAAACAUGUCAACCUAUUAUUUUCUAUUUGAGGAUAUUUGGUAUAUGAAGUUUUUGUGUUUCAAUGAUCAUUAGAGUACAUGGAAACACCGCAAAUGAUCGAAAAUCAAAUAAAUUAAACA